rnacentral:sRNA from 1 species
CUAGGCAAGUGUUAUUGUGGUUGCUGGUCGGCAUAUCCCGAGCUAGUUGCCAACCACGGCGCAAAAAUAUAUAUAUCGAGAUCUAGAUGAUUCUGACCAGGUUCAGCUAGAUGCCCCGCGGCAUCCACUACACUACUAUCACGAAGUAUACAAGAAAACAGUUGCGUGUAAGUACUUGAUAUGAACUAGAAAGUUGGAAAGGGAGAAAAGGAAAAAAAAAACAGAAAAUUGCUCUGAUGGAUAUGAAAUCCCAUGAGUGGUCAGCAUCCGUCCCUCAAAGCUCAUAUGGCAUCACUCUGUUCCUGCAGCGCAAGAAGAUGACAAUGAGGCAAUCUUCGAAUAAUAGAGGAAAAUAAAAAUAGGAUAAACAUUCGCCC